AGUCAUUCUGCCCAUUGUAUUUUAAAGGCUGCGGUAGCCUGACCGUACAAAGGUAGCAUAAUCAAUAGUUUUUUAAAUGGAAACUUGGAUGAAUGAAUUCAUGAAAUAAUAAUUGUUUCAUAAAUUGAAUUUAAAAUUUAAGUAAAAAUGCUUAAAUUUAUUUAUUAGACGAUAAGACCCUAAGAAUUUUAUAAAUUUUAUUAUUAUUAAAUUUCAUUUUAAAUAAUUAUAUUUUAUUGGGAGGAUAAUUAAAUAAAACUUUAAUUUUAAAAAACAUAGAUUAAUGAAUUUUUGAUUAUUAUUAUAAUUAAAAGAUAAAAUUACCUUAGGGAUAACAGCGUAAUAUUUUUGGAGAGACCUUAUUAAUAAAAAUGUUUGCGACCUCGAUGUUGAAUUAUGAUAUAAUUUAAAUGCAGGAGUUUAAAUAGUUAGUCUGUUCGACUAUUAAAAUCAUAC
rnacentral:rRNA from 1 species